CAUACCAUGCUGAAUAUACCGGUUCUCGUUAGAUCACCGAAGUCAUUCGAAUGAAAGGGUUCCGUUCCAAAGGUUUUAGCCCAUCAUUGGGGUAUACGCGGUAGGUGUAGGGGUCACCGAAGUCACAUCAUUGGGCGCGGUCAGUACUUGGGUGGGUGACCACCUGGAACACCGCGUGCCGUU